rnacentral:lncRNA from 1 species
GUGAAAUGCAGACAUCAGCACAUAGUUCCAUAGUCAAGGAGACUAAGCGGCUGCCAUAACACAUGAUCCGGGCGGGCGUGGUGGCUCAUGCCUGUAAUCCCAGCACUCUGGGAGGCCAAGGCAGGUGGAUCACUUGAGGUCUGGAGUUUGAGACCAGCCUGGCCAACAUGGUGAAACCCCGUCUUUACAAAAAUACAAAACUUAGCAGGGUGUGGUGGUAUGUGUCCGUAAUCCCAGCUGCUCCUGAGCUUGAACCCGGGAGGCAGAGGUUUCAGUGAGCCGAGAUCGCAUCACUGCACUCCAGCCUGGGCAACAGAGCGAGACUUCGUCUCAAAAAACAAAACAAAAUGAAACAGAUAACCCCAAACUUGGUGACUUACAACGGAGAUUUACUCUCAUAGUUCUGGAGGCCAGAAUUCUGAAAUCAAGCUGUCAGUAUAGCUGCAUUCCCUCCAAAGUCUCUAGAGAGAAAUCUUUCCUUGACUCUUCCAGCUUUUGUGGGCUGCAGGCUUUCCUUGGCUUGGGGCUACGGCCACAUCCCUCUAAUCAACCUGUCUUCAUAUGCCUGCCUUGUCUCUCUGUUUUGUAAAAAGACACUUGUCAUUGAUUUAGGGCCCACCCAGAUAAUCCAGGAUGAGCUCAGCUUGAAAUCCUUAAUUACAUUUGCAAAAAUCUUUCUUCCAAAGAAAAUAUUCAUAGAUUCUGACACAUGGACAUAUCUUCUUGGCAGCCAGCCUUCAAUCUAUUACUGUUCCCAAAAAUGGGAAUUCUGGCAUAGAUGACUGAAAGUUAUAGAAUUGUGGUGAUUACAGAAAAGUUAGGGACUGACUUUCUGCAAUAGCUAGUGUGACCCUAAAUCUCCUGUGUUGUCUUUUAGUGUCAGGACUGGGCAGUUCCGAAUGGUAAAUCCUUGUGAGGGAUGGACUUCCUGGGAUAGUCCAUAUCCUAAGAAAUGUACCUUGUUCUGCCAAAAUUAUACUUCACAGGGUAUAGACACCUUCUCACCUAUAUUGGGAUUAUGGAGAUCCGAGUAAGUAGCCCAGCUAAUGGAAGGCAUGGAUUCUGACCCCGUGUCAUGAACAACUCCUCUUGUACCUCCUUGUGCCUCCGUGUGUCCCACCAGAUGCUGCUUUGUUUGCAGCCAAAGUGCCCAGUCCUGUUUAUCUGAGACUAACACCUCGUACACAUUAUAAGUGGUAUUGGGACCUGCGUGUACAGAGACGUCAAUUCUCGGAAUUGUUGCAGCCUGAAGGUGCCUUAUGGCUGCAGGCCGGCAUGGUUGCUCUGGGCUGUACAGCAGAGCUAAGUUCUGCAUUCCAGUGCUGCAACUCGAGGGGCUGAAUGUUCCAGAAAGUUUCCUAAUGCCCCCACUCCUGGGUCUACCCUUUCCAUGAGCUGUGUAUUGGGUCAUGCCAAGACACAUCCCUCUUUUGAUCCUAACAGAGCCAAGCAAUGGUUUGCAGGGCUAAGAGGUCGGGCUCUCUGAAAGCAAAACUGGAUGGUGAUGGGUCAGUAGGGGGCCUGAGACAGGUGACAGUUGAAUUAAAACUAUUUUGGGAGAAUCCCAAAGGGAGGAAAACAUGUGCCAAGUAAUUUUCUUGGAUGUGCACCCAUCACCCACUGCAAAAUGCAGAUGUUUGCUUUAUCUUAAGAUGCAAUGAAAUUAUUUACACACUAAGUGCUUCUCAGGACAUACAUCCCCUUUCUUAAGAGAAACUGAAACUUAAGAAUUAGAGAAAAAAGAUGUCCUGUAAUUAGACUUCCAGGCAUGGGCAGGCAAUCUCUGUGUGGUUCCUAGUAUGCCCUCAAAUGAGAGAGAAUGUUUAUGAAGCUCCUACUAUGCCGUAAGCCAUUUAUUAGAAUGUUUUAUCUAAUUGUUACAUAACCCGUUUGCUAAAAGUGUCUGCAUUUUUGUUUUAUCCAAAGUCACAGUUAAUAUGUAAAAUAUAUGGCAUCUCCCCAUGAAAUGUGUACCCACAAAACAAAGGAAUUGUCAAAGGUGUGUCAAGGUAUAGACGGGCAAUUGGAUUCCUUCAUUCGUCUUCUUCACUGUAACCCACGUGUUUGAUCUGAGUGUGUUUGAUUAGCGACUCUGAGAUUAGCAGAGAGCCACCAUCUCAUCAUGACUCUGCUUUACUCAAGCAGAUCUGGCUGAACUGCCUGUGCCCUGCCACCGAGUCCACUUUCUCUAUCAAAGUCAAGUUAAUAGCUGGGCACCUGCUGGGUGUGGUUCCCUUUAUGCCCCAACCAAUCUUUCUUUCUUUCCAAAGAGUAUUUGAAACUUCACUUUACAGACAUAGA